UACGAAGGUCCCGAGCGUUAUCCGGAUUCAUUGGGUUUAAAGGGUGCGUAGGUGGAAUAAUAAGUCAGUGGUGAAAUCUUGCAGCUUAACUGUAAAACUGCCAUUGAUACUGUUGUUCUUGAGUAUAGUUGAUGUGGGCGGAAUAUGUCAUGUAGCGGUGAAAUGCUUAGAUAUGACAUAGAACACCGAUUGCGAAGGCAGCUCACAAAGCUAUUACUGACACUGAGGCACGAAAGCGUGGGGAUCAAACAGG
rnacentral:rRNA from 1 species